AGCGAACGCUGGCUGCAUGCUUAACACAUGCAAGUCGCGCGGGUGGUUUCGGCCAUCAGCGGCGGACGGGUGGGUAUCGCGUAGGAAUGUAUCCCGAGGUGGGGGACAACCCUGGGAUACUGGGGCUAAUACCGCAUGAGGCCUGUGGGUCAAAGCCUUAGGGCGCCUUGGGAGCAGCCUGCGUCCGAUUAGGUAGUUGGUGGGGUAAAGGCCUACCAAGCCUGCGAUCGGUAGCUGGUCUGAGAGGACGAUCAGCCACACUGGGACUCAGACACGGCCCAGACUCCUACGGGAGGCAGAAGUGGGGAAUAUUGGACAAUGGGCGCAAGACUGAUCCAGCAAUGCCGCGUGGGUGAAGAAGGUCUUCGGAUUGUAAAGCCCUUUCGGCGGGGACGAUGAUGACGGUACCCGCAGAAGAAGCCCCGGCUAACUUCGUG
rnacentral:rRNA from 1 species